AAAGCAGUGGUUUCAUCCCCAGAAGCCUCAGCCGCUCAGUCCAUUUCCUUCUCUGCUCCUGCCAGACCCUUGGCUCCCUGUCCUCGUGGCCCCUACUCAAUCCUCCUGGAAACCUGUGGGCAGCGUCUGAAGCCGGGGUCUCUACCUGGAUGCUGAACCCAGCAUUUGGGUGCUGCAGACCCUCCUGACAGGCAGCCUCUGGCCUUGGGGACCAACCACCUCCCCUGGGGCUCAUCCUGUUGACAUCCACCCACGUGAUCCUGGGAGCUUAGGAUGGGUGUGGGGUAUUCAGCCAAGGCAGGCGGCUCCCAGGUCAGGAGGAUGGGCCUGGCUUGAGACCUGUUGAGACCAGCAGGCUCCCUCUGCUCCCUGGUCUUGCCACUCAGUGGAAAGGAUGAAAGCAAAUGCUCUUCUCCCCAUUUUACAGACAAUCAACUCUGGACUUGGAGAGGCAGUGUUUGUCUACAGUCAUAGAGUUAGCUGAUUCCAGUUCAGGAUGUUUUCUUCUGCACACAUGGAAAUCCAUGAUUCACAGGCAUACGUGCCCAAGCACC
ensembl:lncRNA